rnacentral:lncRNA from 1 species
GCCUGGCGGAAGUUUUGAUUGGAAAGGUGGUGUUGGAGGGUGUCAAAGGAGAUAGCUUGGGAAGUAGUUGUGGAUGUGGUGGAAGAAGGAUGAGAGAAGGUGGUGGUAGAGGAGAGAGAGGAAAGAGUGUUUGUGGUGGAGGUGGAGGAGGAGGGGGGUUUGAGGAAGAAGGAGGAGGGUGGAGGAGGAGGAGGGGUGGAGAGGCGUUUGAAGGAAGAGGAAUGGUGGUGGUGGUGAAG